rnacentral:rRNA from 1 species
UACGUAGGGUGCGAGCGUUGUCCGGAAUUAUUGGGCGUAAAGAACUCGUAGGCGGUGUGUCGCGUCGGUCGUGAAAACUUUCAGCUUAACUGGGAGCUUGCGGUCGAUACGGGCAUCACUGGAGUUCGGCAGGGGAGACUGGAAUUCCUGGUGUAGCGGUGAAAUGCGCAGAUAUCAGGAGGAACACCGGUGGCGAAGGCGGGUCUCUGGGCCGAUACUGACGCUGAGGAGCGAAAGCGUGGGAGCGAACAG